UGGAGAAUGACAAACUAAGGAAGGUAAAUAAAUUAAAUAAACCCCCUUUCAGUUAUUUUCUUUAAAGGACAAACUCUUUGUAAGUUUGUUAUAUUAGAUCACACAAUUUUGUAUAAAAAAAAUCCUCCAAAACAAAAUCCUCUUUUCCUCUCUUUCUGUGCUUUAAACACAAUUUCUUCUUCUUCCUUCAAUUUCUCCACAAUUUUCUCCAUAAUUGUAAUUUCAAACUACCAGCUUCUUCUAUCACACACAUCAUUGCGUUUUUUCAUACUAUCUCAAAAAUUUCAAGAAUUUUGGUUCAAUCAAUGGAUGUCAAAUCUCCAUCGAAAAGAUUCACAAGAGGUAUACCAUUACAUGUUCAGAUUGAUGUUGAACACCCAUCAUUUUCAUUUGGUCUAACUCAGGAAUUUAGGGAGAUCUCAGGUUCAUUGUCUAAAUCUACUACCAUUCAGAAGAUAAAAUCCAAAUUCAAUAAUGACCCAAGUAGAUUUGUUAAUGGAGGUGUGAAGAAUCUUGUCGAUGUUGUUACUGGGUCAAGUAAGAAAAGAAAACAUAAAGAUGAUGUUUAUACCGUUCAUAAUGAUAAAAAUGAAGUUGUUGGUUCUGGGUCAAUCGAGCAUCAUAAGGUAUUUGUAUAAUCAUUGUUCAUGUAUAUGUUUAGAUUUUAUAUUAUAUGUUUUGUUUUUGUGUUGAAUCAUGUCUUAUACAAUUGUAAUUGUCAAAAUGUAUAAUCUAUAUUAGUAUAUGUUUUUGUGUUUCUGUUGAUUCAUGCCUUAUAUAAUACUGUUAGUAUAAAAUAUAUAAUAAAUUCUUGUAUCUGUUUAUGUGCUUAUACAAUUGUAGUUGUAUAAAUGCAUAAUUUAUAUUAGUAUAUGUUUUGUGUUUCUGUUGA